CACGUCAUACAAUGGUCGGAACAGAGGGUCGCCAACCCGCGAGGGGGAGCCAAUCCCAGAAAACCGAUCGUAGUCCGGAUUGCACUCUGCAACUCGAGUGCAUGAAGCUGGAAUCGCUAGUAAUCGCGGAUCAGCAUGCCGCGGUGAAUACGUUCCCGGGUCUUGUACACACCGCCCGUCACACCAUGGGAGUGGGUUUUACCAGAAGUGGCUAGUCUAACCGCAAGGAGGACGGUCACCACGGUAGGAUUCAUGACUGGGGUGAAGUCGUAACAAGGUAGCCGUAUCGGAAGGUGCGGCUGGAUCACCUCCUUUCUCG
rnacentral:rRNA from 1 species